GCCUGGCUGGCUCAGUCGGUACAGCGUGUGACUCCUGAUCUUGGGGCCGCGAGUUCGGGUCCCACGCUGGGCA
rnacentral:tRNA from 1 species